rnacentral:rRNA from 1 species
UACGUAGGGUGCAAGCGUUGUCCGGAAUUAUUGGGCGUAAAGAGCUCGUAGGCGGUCUGUCGCGUCUGCUGUGAAAACUCAGGGCUUAACCCUGAGCUUGCAGUGGGUACGGGCAGACUAGAGUGCGGUAGGGGAGACUGGAAUUCCUGGUGUAGCGGUGAAAUGCGCAGAUAUCAGGAGGAACACCGGUGGCGAAGGCGGGUCUCUGGGCCGUAACUGACGCUGGAGAAAGCGAAAG